rnacentral:rRNA from 1 species
AACGAACGCUGGCGGCAUGCCUAACACAUGCAAGUCGAACGAGACGUUCGGGCCUAGUGGCGCACGUGUGCGUAACACGUGGUAAGUUGCACGUAGGUUAGGAAUACCUCACUGAAGGGGAUGUUCAUAACGGAUAGUGUCAUCGGACCUAAGAUUUCUUGCUUUGGGAUGGGCGUGGGUUGGAUUCGCUAGUUGGUAGGGUAAAAGCGUAUCAAGGGCAUGAUGCAUGGCUGGUCGGUGAGGAGGACCAGCCACGCUUGGGCUGAGGCACGGCCCAGACUCCGACGGAAGGGUGCAGAAGGGAAUAUUAGACGAGGAGCGAAAGCCUAAUCCAGCCAUGCCGGGUGAGAGAUGAAUGCCUUAGGAUUGUAAUGCUCCUUUUGCCGAGAUGAUAAUGACAGUACCGGGAGAAUAAGCACCGGCUAACUACGUG